ACAGGCGGUAGCAAUACUGCGCUGACGAGUGGCGCACGGGUGCGUAACACGUAUGCAACUUACCCUUUACCGGGGCAUAACCUGUUGAAAGACGGGCUAAUUCCCCAUAGUAUUAUUUUGAGGCAUCUUAAAAUAAUUAAAGAUUUAUUGGUAAAGGAUGGGCAUGCGCCCCAUUAGUUAGUUGGUGAGGUAACGGCUCACCUAGACCGUGAUGGGUAGGGGUUCUGAGAGGAUUAUCCCCCACACUGGUACUGAGACACGGACCAGACUCCUACGGGAGGCAGCAGUAAGGAAUAUUGGGCAAUGGCCGAGAGGCUGACCCAGCCAUGCCGCGUGCAGGAAGACGGCCUUAUGGGUUGUAAACUGCUUUUCUAUGGGAAUAACCACUUCUACGCGUAGAGGUCUGCAUGUACCAUAGGAAUAAGCAUCGGCUAACUCCGUGCCAGCAGCCGCGGUAAUACGGAGGAUGCAAGCGUUAUCCGGAAUUAUUGGGUUUAAAGGGUGCGUAGGCGGACUGGUAAGUCAGUGGUGAAAUUCUCGGGCUUAACCUGGGACCUGCCAUUGAUACUGCUGGUCUUGAGUGUAGUUGAUGUUGGCGGAAUGUGUCAUGUAGCGGUGAAAUGCAUAGAUAUGACACAGAACACCGAUAGCGAAGGCAGCUGACAAAACUAUAACUGACGCUGAGGCACGAAAGCGUGGGGAUCAAACAGGAUUAGAUACCCUGGUAGUCCACGCCGUAAACGAUGAUCACUAGCUGUAUGCGAUACACUGUAUGUGGCUAAGGGAAACCGAUAAGUGAUCCACCUGGGGGAGUACGUCCGCAAGGAUGAAACUCAAAGGAAUUGACGGGGGCCCGCACAAGCGGAGGAGCAUGUGGUUUAAUUCGAUGAUACGCGAGGAACCUUACCUGGGCUUGAACGUAUGGUGCAUGGGGUGUGAAAGCAUCCUUUUUCAGCAAUGAACUUCAUACGAAGGUGCUGCAUGGGUUGUCGUCAGCUCGUGGCCGUGAGGGGGUUAAGGUUAAGUCCUUGCAACGAAGCGCAACCCCCUGGUUUU
rnacentral:rRNA from 1 species